UCUCUGUACUGUCCUUUACUCUUAAGUAACUUAUUCCUUUGUCCUACUGCUCCUCUUAACAUUCCAAACCUAGUCUCUGAUUUAUUCCCAUCACCAUGACUUUUUUUGCACCUGCUCAUAUUCUCUUUAAUGGAGCUGGAGGAGAUUGCAUAAAUAUAAAGGCUGGGUCUACUACAGAUUUGUUGUCCCAUCUCUAAUGGGCUCUUACAGCACCAAGGUAACCUUUGUACUCCUCCCUUACUGAUUAUCUCACUCACCAGAGUGGCUGUUCCAGAUUGUUUGCCAAAUCUCCCAGGGCACACCCUCAUCUGCCCUCUCAGCUAAAGAUCUCAUCUCAAAAUCUUUGGAGAAAGCACAGGAUAUCCACUUGAUAUUCCCUCUUCUCUCUUCUUCCUCACCCCUGGAAAAAUAUCCUCCUGCUCCAGCCCCCUGGCCCACUGGCCCCCAACCCUGGUAGCCAACCCCUGUUGAUGAUCCUUCUGGACUGCUGAUUGCUGCUACCAAGAAGCUUGAAGUCCUUGGAGCUUCUCCUCAGGGCAGAUGGAAACUCAACUUAUGGAAUGAUCAAAAUGGAGGUGAAUACUAUUUUUACUUGUCUAACAAGAGACAUCGGAUACAGUAACAUCAAAAACAGAAUACUAUCUACCACAUUCAAUUGACACUUUGUGGACAGGACAAUAAUGACUCACCAGAUCAGAGAAAGAACAUUGCUAUCCUAUCCUGGACAGAGGGUAGCUUUAAUGGAGAAAUUGGGGCUAUUUUGAGCUUUGCAGAUUUGUUUGAGGCCGAUGUCCAAGUCCCAAAUCAGAGAACAGAUUCAGAGCGACUGUUAUUCGUUUGUGAAAUCAGGUUACAAGAUG
rnacentral:lncRNA from 1 species